rnacentral:lncRNA from 1 species
CAUUCUGAGUAAGGAUGUGCCUUACACACGAGCUGUUUCUCUAAUACUUUUUCUUUUUUUUUUCCCUCUAUGCUUCUGCCCUCACCAGAAAUGAAGUUUACUGCAGCGGUAUCAUACAGUGGAGGUGAAACGGCCAGCGGCUUAGUCGUGCACCCUGUCAAAUGCCAUAGCUCCAGUCCAGCAAAGCCCUUAGGCAUACGACUGCUUUCAGGGUCUCACAAAAUGAUACAAUACUUCAAAUUGAGCCAUGAAUUGCCAAGAAACAUCCAUACAGGCCAAAUCCCACGUGAGGCUUUUGAAGUAUUUUGA